rnacentral:rRNA from 1 species
UACAGAGGCCUCGAGCGUUAGGCGGAAUCACUGGGCUUAAAGCGUGUGUAGGCGGACUUCUAAGUACCUUGUGAAAUCCCACGGCUCAACCGUGGAAAGUGCAUUCGAAACUGCAGGGCUAGAGUCCUGGAGAGGAAGGUGGAAUACUUGGUGUAGAGGUGAAAUUCGUAGAUAUCAAGCGGAACACCGGUGGCGAAGGCGGCCUUCUGGACAGUGACUGACGCUGAGACGCGAAAGCGUGGGGAGCAAACAGG